CAUAGGUAGUGGCUUGGUUAAGAGAACCCAUCGGAGUUGUAGCAAAAAACGAGUCUUCAUAGGGUAAUUGUCAUUGUUUAUGAACCCGAACCUGGGUGAUUUAUCCACGACUAGGAUAAAACUUGGGUGAAACUAAUGCCUAGUUUAAGGAUGCUUCUCAAAAGUGCUUUUGGGGAGAGGGAAACACUUUUAGGGAGAAGUUAAACAAAAAGUGCUUUUGGGCCAAUUUUUGGCUUGGAAAAGCACUUUUUCUCUAAAAAAUCAACUUGAUUAGGAAUGCUUUUGUCACAAAAGUGUUUUUUUUAGAAGCAUUCCUAAACUAGGUCUAAGUGGAGGCCAAAACUAACUGUUGUUGAAGAAUCAACAGAUGAGUUGUGGUUAGAGCCGAAAUGCCACUCGAACCCAGAGUUAGCUAG
rnacentral:ncRNA from 1 species